GACGAACGCUGGCGGCGUGCCUAAUACAUGCAAGUCGAACGAGAGCGACCGGUGCUUGCACUGGUCAAUCUAGUGGCGAACGGGUGAGUAACACGUGGGUAACCUGCCCAUCAGAGGGGGAUAACAUUCGGAAACGGAUGCUAAAACCGCAUAGGUCCUUUAACCGCAUGGUUGAAGGAGGAAAAGAGGCGCAAGCUUCUGCUGAUGGAUGGACCCGCGGUGCAUUAGCUAGUCGGUGAGGUAACGGCUCACCAAGGCCGUGAUGCAUAGCCGACCUGAGAGGGUGAUCGGCCACAUUGGGACUGAGACACGGCCCAAACUCCUACGGGAGGCAGCAGUAGGGAAUCUUCCGCAAUGGACGCAAGUCUGACGGAGCAACGCCGCGUGAGUGAAGAAGGUUUUCGGAUCAUAAAACUCUGUUGUUAGAGAAGAACAAGUGCUAGAGUAACUGUUAGCGCCUUGACGGUAUCUAACCAGAAAGCCACGGCUAACUACGUGCCAGCAGCCGCGGUAAUACGUAGGUGGGCAAGCGUUGUCCGGAUUUAUUGGGCGUAAAGCGAGCGCAGGCGGGUACCUUAAGUCCGAUGUGUCAACCCCCGGCCCAACCGGUGAGGCUCAAUUGGGAUUGGGAGAACUUGAUUGCAAAAUAGGACACCCGUAUUUCCAGUCGUUAGC
rnacentral:rRNA from 1 species